UAAACCAUGAUUUUGUAAUUUGUACUAUAACACUCAUUGCUAAUAUAUUAGUUUUUGUUCAGGUUGAAUUUAUCAGGCGGAUGGUUUCACAAUGACAACAUCGUAGUAGUUACCAAUGAAGUUUAUUAAUGAAGCAUCAAUUCUGGAUCUAGCACGGGUGGCAUCAUAUUUUAUCAAGCCAGCAUCCUCAGUUAUCGAUGAAAUUACUUGAUGCACAUUAGUCCAUCCAAUUGAGUCACUUCCACAUGUCCGUG